GGGUGGAGGGGGCGGAGCUGCUGCCUUUAUGGCAGGGCAGCAGGGGGUGAAGUGGAGCCAGGACAGGUGGCCCGAAUGAGGCAAUUAGGCCAGCCAUGACCCAUCACACCGAAGGGCAUAAAGCUGUGGAGGAGUUGGCCGAGAGGUAACAAUGUGGAUCGUCUGCUGGUGAGCGGAGGGAGGUUUUGUCUUGCUGGUGGAGUGUCUAAUGGCUGCUGUGCAUUAGUCAGCAAGUGGUAACAGUGCCUGAGGAGAUACAUUAAGGGAAACAGAAGGCUCCUCUUCCUCAUCUCUAACGUGUUUGGCUGCAGACACCACAAGCUGAAAUUCUGAGUGACAAGCAUCAUUUCUAAGACCACAAUUUCACUUGGAAAAGUGGAGCAGAGUUGGAGGAGGAGAUGGAGGAAGAGAGAUUAAACAACUCAGAAAACAGAUGGAGAAAUGGAAUAGAAUCACUACUGUACCCUGAGAAGAGACUUGGAUGACAGCCAAAAGCCUUAUCUGGAUGAGGUCCUUAUUAAAUAUUCAAGAUCAAUAAAAUUAACAAACAAGAAACAACGCUGGCUUAUUGUCUGCUCUGAAUGACAGUGAAAAACAAUCUGAAAUUCACAAAAUAUUGUUGACCUUUCAGCAGUAAAUCCAAUAAAAGAGAAAGUGGGUCAAACUGAAGCCAUUUAAGGCGCAUCUUGAAGUUAAUCAGGAAACUUGACCUCCAUCUGUUCCUGAACGAACAAAAGUCUUGCAGAACCGAGUAGAAAAUUUAGAUUACACUGUAGGCACAGUUACCACAUAAAACCCUGCUGAAGACUGUUCCACACUUGUAACAGCUCAAAAGAAAAAAAAAAUGGUUGCAAAAUGAAAGGGAUAGCAAAGUCAAUGCUUCUUAUCCACAGCAAAUCAAAUUUAGGAAUGAAAUGCAGCAGAAAAUAUCCCAGUGAUCCACGAGAAUUAAAAGUCCUGCACACUGAUUCACACAAAAAAAUGUGAUGAAGGAUGCUACUCAAAGUUUGGUGCUCAAGCAAGAAGGUGACAGUCACUGUACCUGUGGGCAAGAGAACACAUCAACGGAGCCUUCCCAAAGGUCAGCCAAAGAGAUGGAUUUUGACACAGAUUUCCAAUACUCUGCAGGAAAAUGAAUAACGGACACACGUGAGAAUACUGCAAUAUCCUUCCUGCAUUUUCCAAGUUGUACUACAAAUGAGAUAAUAGACAGAAUGUUUUAGUGUUUUUAAAUGGAAAAAGAUAAUCCAUUAUAGUGCAAACAAUUCUGGUAAGUAAUAAAAAUAUUUUUCACAGAAAUGUAAGUGAUAUUAAAGGUAUGCCACUGAAAAACAAAGAUGACAAAUUAAAACUGCAGUGUUCACACAGAGUUUUCUGUGAGCAGCUGCUUGUUUGCAUAUAGAACUGAAGAAUACAUUUGUAGGUGCAAUCCAUUAUCUUUUUAUACUUCAAGUUUUCUAAUUUUCGUGAUUAACACCAGCUAAGACUUUCCCAAAGAAGACUGGAUUUAUGGAUUAAGGUUAUAGUAGUUACAGUACAGGGCAGAAGCAAAAUCACGACUGAUAAUUUUUACAAAAUCAAUUUCUCAUGUUUCAAGUCAUUUCUCAUGUUUCUGAGAGAUUUUCAUUUAUAAACAGACACAACUAUGCUUAGAUAUAGCAUGAACUCUAUCGUGCAUGGAACACAAUCUAAAAGAAAAUCAGCUAGUGGUUUUUUAUUGUCUUUUGCUCACCACCUUCCUUGAAAAAGAAAAGUUCAGUGGCUGUCCUUACAGAACAAGACUGAUGAAUUAGAAAGUCAUCAACCUAUCUGUCCAUGUAAGGACACAAAAAAAAUGCAAAAUCUUGUUGCUUUAUGCGCAAUGCUGUUACAGUAGUUUGGCAAAACACCCCAAAGACCUCAGUCACAACAGCUGAUGCUCCUUUAAGCCAUCAAUAACCUGCCAUACGUACACUAACAAAUAACAAUAUUAGAAAUAAGAAUAUGCAUUAAGUCAGGAUUUUUACUGCCUUGUUGCAGGUGCAAAGACAGAAGUCUAGAGCUGUGAGACCAGCUGCCAGAUCUGGUGGCUGAGCUGAGAACAGACUCCAGGUGGGUGCUUUGCCACCGGAGUUGCAGGAAUCCAGCUGCAACAGCUCUGCUCUCACAGCAGAGGAAUGGGUGAGAUUUAGAAAGGCCCGUAGGUCCCUCUUUCUUCUGAUUAAUUCCAUUUAAAUACCAACAGAGGUUGGCUGUCUUUUGAAAGGUAACCACGAGAAAAAACCAGAGAGGAGUCUAUGUCAAAACUGUUUUGAAAUAUUCUUGACCUCUGAAAGUGAGACACAAAUUCAAACAGUGGUUGAAGCCACAUCUGCUUAGCAAAAAUUCAUGAAAGGAACAAGCCUUCUGUCUGAAGAAACUAUUUUUGGUUUCUGGUGACAGCUUUGACAGACUUUCUCAAAUAAGCUUGUAUCAAUUUAAAGCACACUUGGUCUCAUUCCAAGGAAACUGUGGCAAAUGUGGUGGGCUUCCUAGGAAGAGUAUGAUUAGAAAAGGUUGCAAAUGGUAUGUGAAUUUAACAACUGCUAGCAGGGUUGUCCCUCCUUAGUGUGUAUGUCUCCACAGGAUAAAGGCCUCUUGAAAAGUAUGCAAGAUAGUUUUAAUCCCAUUAGUACAACCAAGGAUGUACUGUUAUUAGAUAACAUUUUUUAGGCAUAUGGUUAGCAAGGCUGAUUAUCCGCUUCUACACAGGCAAAACACAUUCCAACAACAUAAAAUUGUGACCAAGCAGCAUGCAGUCUGGCCAAACUACAACUACUUCUAAACUACUUCUGCUAAGAUCCCACCGACAUUAAAAUUUACAAGUAACGUCAGGAAAAAUAUUCCUAAAAAUCCUAUCACCUUCUUCCUGUCACAGCAUUUUCAGUGCUUUUCAAAUGAAAUAACAUAAUGAAGAUACUACACCAGUUGAUUUUGAGGACCCAAGAAAAAAAGUCAGAGCUAUGGUCUGUACGACUUGAUUUUCUCAGGUCAUUUUAUUAUAGAAUUAAUUUCUUAUAUCCAAAUGAAAUUUAGUUCAGAAGAAAUUCUCAUAGGGCAUGUGUACUAUACACUUGUUUGCCAUAGAUUUUCCAGGUGAAUAGGUUGAAAAGGUUGUAAAUGUGUAAAAAUAAUGUAAGUAUUAACAAGCUUUAUACAUCACAUGCGUAAAAUAGGUUAAAAUUAUUCAUAUGACAAAGCUAUUUUUUUAAAAAGUAAUAAAUGGCCCUAUACAUUAACAUUUCACUUACAAGUUAACACAGUUUUUUCUUCCCACAUCUUUUAGCUGUAGAAUAGUCCUGUUUCCUUCUCUUGGGUGGAAGGAAUUCAAAGGCAAAAGAGUCUUAUGAAAAGCUCCAUGAGUCAUUAUUUGUCAAGAAAGAAGAUGCACAGGGGAAGAGCCAGAAAGGUUGAGGACAGCAAAGAUAGUCCAAUAGCUGAGUUACAUGCUUCCCAGGACAAAUGGAUUCUGUCUCUAAUUCUGCCAAAGAAUUGCCAGGUAAAACUUGCACCCAAGUACUAAGGCUCAUGUGAGAUGUUGCUGCUGACACUGAAAUGCCUAUGUCAGGCCCAAAUCUUUCCUACGUCCCCCAUUUUGCCACCAUUUUCUGUACAAAUGGGAGCCACAGGAAGCUUGGAGCAGGUGUCACACCACCAAACAUGCAGAAUGGAAAUAAUUUGUUAGGAAAAGCUGAAGAAAGGAGUCUGUCUGAAAUUCUUUCCUUUCUGGAUAAGACAGCUCCCUGAGAUGAGAAUUCAAAGGCCAGAACCAUAUUCCAUCGCUUAGUUUAUCCAGCUCUGCAUAGAUGCCAGUUCUACAGGGUAGUGCUCCUGUUCCCUGAAAUGAUGACUAGAAUACUCACUCAAAAUUCACAUACUUUAUAGUCUUUUCUCAGCUUCAAACAUAUAUUAAUUACUUAGGAGAGAAGAACAGCCUACCUCUGGAUUGAAAAAUAAGUAGAAAUUUAUAGAAUCAUAGAAUCGCUAAGGUUGGAAAAGACCCACAGGAUCAUCCAGUCCAACCAUUCGCCCUUCACCAAUGGUUCUCGCUAAACCAUAUCCCUCAACACAAUAUAACAAAUUAUAUAUAACCAAUAUAUGCCUGGCUUGUCAGUCCCAUCAAUGACAUUUCUUCCCUGCAACUCAGUUCUAACCUUCAUUUGCUUUGCUCUUUAUCUGCCACUUUCUUGGCAUUGUCUCAGUAUCUUGCUUAGUCAACUUUAGGUUCCAGGUGUCAUCUCAGUUCAUUCCCAAAUUCCAUUCAAUAAUUCAUAGGACCAGACUUCUUGGCUAGCUACCACACAGGCAUCACUACCUGCUAAAACGUCACCAGCCUCUGCUUCCAAUGCAUCUCUUAAGCUCCUUCAGAUUAGCUGUCCCUUCUCCUUUUAAAAUAUACAUCUUCCUGCUCUACCACAUCUGGGCAAAGUGAGAGGGAUUUAAAAAAGAGACCCUCUUAGUUCUCAUGAACAAACAGUUCCUAACUAUUUUGAUACACUAUGGGUAUUUUUUGGUAAUAUUUUAAAAAUUUUAGCAGCCUGAAAUUCCCUUUUUUGUGGCUUUGAAGCAUUUUUUUAGCUUAUAUAUGUAUAUUUUGAAUUGGGGGAUGUGGGAAGAGGAGAAUGUGUUAACAUCUUCCCAGAAGUUUCUUAAUCAUUCUGAGCACAGAAGUGAGUCAAAGCCAGAAACUAAUAGGAAAUGAAUACAAUUAAUGCUGCAACUUUUCUAAAAUAAACAUAUCAAAACAAUGAAAUUCAAUGCCUUCUGACAAGCUAAGUGUGUAUUUCUUUGCUUAUGUCUUUGAAUAGCAGUUAUUGUGAAGCAACCAUACAGUCAGCCUCCAAAUGAGGCAUACGGUGAUAGAAUUCAGGGAAAUGAGUACCUGGGAAAAUCCACAUUUCUCAGUAAUUACAGAGCAUCACUACAUCUGUGGUGGCUGUCUAGUUUUCUAUCAUGAACACAGAGGAAUUACAUUAUGUGGAGAAGGAAAGUGCAAUUAUUUACGCUAGGUGUAUUCAAAAUUAACACGUAAUGUGUUGUCUUGCUAUGUAUUUUUCACAACUCAAAGUUCAUGGUGGAGACCCCUUCCUUACAUAAAAUUUAAGUGAUCUACAGAAAGGAAAAAGUCGGUAAGGACAGAGUAGUGCUACACACAGCAGUAAUUUUAAGAAACAAACAUAUGCCUCCUCUGCUAUUUCACUUGCCUCAACUGCUUCCAAGUCAGGUUGAGGGAAACAGCCUGCAAGAUAGGGCCUGCCUUGUAUUGAACAGUAUUUCUAGAGGCAUGUCUUCCUAACUCUUUCAUCCUUCAAUGACCUGAAACACACUGCAAUAAAGUUUUGCUUCUGGGUAUUCAUCUCAAAUUGAGAUUCUAGCAUUAGUUUACACAUCGCAAAUGACAUUACAGGAAAUGUAAAACAUUCUGCAGUUUAAUCUUUUAAGUGUUCUCAAAAGGAAAACAGUUCAAUGGAUAUUUGUUUAACAUCUGGCAUGUUUGAUCUUCCUGAGAAAUUGUCACGUGAAACAAUCUAUUACAGAACCUUUUUAUUUUUAAUCUUACACUGAUUACCUGCUAUUGGGCACUCCUUGAAACAGAACAUUAGAUUAGAGAUCAAACAAUGUUUUACAUGUACAGAAUUUGAUUAACGAAUUAAUGCAAUUCUGUUAUUCAACAGCAAAAAGUGGACUAUUCAUAAAUGGAAGCAGAGUAGCAAAGAAAUCUCAGUCAAAUGAGAUAAAAUAAAUUUUCAGUACGAAGAUUGGAUGAAAACCAUUUUUACCUGCUUCAGUGGCACUACACUUCUAAACAGGGAACAGUUUCCAUUUUAUGACCUAUUUACAUAACACUGUUAUCUCAUAAGCUGUAUGCUUUUUACUGCACUACUGAGUAAAAAGUUACAGAAAACUCAAUUGUGACAGCACUGAAUUAUGCUUAUAAACACUGAAAUGCAGCUACACAUCAAAAGGAAGAAAAUGAAUGGUUAAACAAUCUGAAUAGUUCAGGAAACAGAUUUUUCAUCUUUGGAUUGAUUGAGUUAAUGUAGUCAUUUAAGAGAGGCAUAUGCAUAGGCACUGUGCAAACUGUUGUUAGACAGACUAUAUAACAUGAAAAUAAUUAUCAUACAUGCACACAGCAAGUAGUUCCAUGUGUUCUUGGAAGUGAUGCAUCUUCUUGUGUAGUUAGACAAACAGACAGAUUUCAGGCUAUUUGUGAGCAUUCAAAUGACCAAAUUUAUGGUUGUGACUAUUCUAAGAAAAGAUUUUCUAUUUUUACCACAAGGAAGCAUAUUCACAAGCUUUUGUGUUCUGUGGCUGAUUAUGUAAAGGUUGCUCUGAAAGUAAUGUCACCUGUUUUAUUAUGUUGAACCACAACAUCAGAGGUGGAUGUCGGUGGUAUGGCAAUAGAGGUUGAAUCUUCCCACCAAUAUUCCAUUGCAUUUUGUUGCUGCGUGACAGAUGGCAGCAGAGGGGCAGUCUGACAGAACGGCAUCUGACAUAGAAGUGCAUAUGAAGCAAAGGUGUGUCACUGAAUUCCUCUGUGUGGAAAAAACAGCACCCACUGACAUUCUUCAAUGUUUGGUGAACCUUUGUGGAGACCAAAGAGCAAAUGUGAGCACAGUGAGGUGGUGGGUAGUGCAUUUCAGCAGUGGCAACAGUGAUGUGAAAGACAAACCACAUUCUGGACAGCCAUGCACUGCAGUAACACCACAAAAUGAAAGUCUUGGUGAGCUCAUCCAUGAGAACUGGCAGAUUACAACCAGAGAACUACGUAUGAAGUUGAAUAUCAGCUUCAGUGCAUUAGAAACAACAAUGGCAACAUUGGAAUAUCACAAAGUUUGUACCAGGUUCCACAAAUGCUCACAUAGGAACAGAAAGAAGUUUGCAAGUUUGCCGGAAUCUACUGAACAAAUAUGAGGCUGAAGGUGACAGGUUCCUGUGAAAGUGAAACCAUUAACUCUGACCACUCAUCACAACUUAGUCAGCCGAUGGCUCAAACUUCCAGAGUCAGGCCAGAGAAGAAGAAAGCCUUUCUCCUGCAAUAUUAUAACACCAGGCUCCAUAUCAGUUUGAAGACCAUGGAAGACCUUGCCCAUCUUGGCUGGACUGUCCCACCACACCCAUUGCACAGUCUGGAUUUGAUGCCUUCUGAUUUCUACCUGGUAAUCAUGCUGUCAUAGCACCUGUGAAACAGUGGGUCACCUCCACUGAUGCAGAUUUUUAUGAGCAUGGCAUGCUGGCUCUUGAUCUUCGGUGGUGAAAAUACACAGUUAAUGGUGGUGACUAUGUUGAAAAACAGUAUUUUGUAGCUGAGAAUUUGCUCAGUCAAACAAUGUUAUUGUGCUCUUUGUUGUAGUUUCCAUGGAAAAAAUAGGAAGCAUUACUUUCAGAGCAACAUAGGCACAUUAAAUCAAUGCAAAAUCCAUUAAAUUUCUAGAUCAUCUUGCAAUUGCAAUAGCAAGAAUGUCAUCAAUAAAUAUUCCAAGGAAAUAAAAUAUGUAUUUUUUAAUGUAUUCACAGUCUCUUGAGGAAUUGUACUGCAUACCUGCAGCAUUGGAACUGGCACUAUAUGCAUUCCUUAGUUAUACUGGCUAUUUCACUAGAGCAUACUUGGAAAUGGCCAGCAAUUAGACUUUAGGCACAUCUCUGCACAUCAUAUGGUAUUUCCAACAACAUGGCAUUAAAAAAAAAAAAACAAAAAAAAAACCCCCCCACACAAAAAAACCACCACGUUGUAUUGUGGUCCCAGUAAGGAAUCUGUUAUAACGCUUGAACUUCAUUAUACCAAGUGGUCCAGCAGCGUCUGUCAAGUGAUGGCCAGACGCUACAGCAGACUUAUUGAUUUCGUGGACUCUCCUCAUCCGUUAUUUAAUCUCCCAGUAUACACUCCCUGGACAGUAGUUGCUGCUGCUAUUUAAAUUGAGACUCUUUUGGUCUGAAAGUAGCACUUCUACCUGACAUAAAAGAAAUCCUCCCUUCUGAAUGAAUCGGUAGGAUCUGUGUUAAGUGAAAGCUUGUCUCAUCUGACAGCUUCUUACUGAAUAUCAUGCCAGUACCUCCCAGAAAAACAUAGAAAGACUCUGGCAAAGAAGUGAGACUGAGAAGAGGGUUCUUUGUUCCUUGAACUGCUGUACAGUUGGACAGUGAAGAUAUAAAGACAUCUGUAGUCACUGAAGGCUAGCAUUUCCUCUGGCAUUACUGGUUUGACAAAUGAAGGGAAAACAAACACCCUGACCAUAGGAGCAGAAUGGCAGAAUCAUUGCAAAUCCAGAAGCAGACAACACUAAUAAACAAGUGAAAGUAAGCUUUCAGUGUUAUCCAAAGCAGCAUCCGACUGAGGAUCUGGAUCAAAACCUUCUCUGGAGAUUUAUGUAGGACAAAGAGCUUUUCUGUUCUUUCUUUGGGCACCUGAUGCUAAAUCCAGAUGGCUGACUCCUGGUAUUGGACAGAGUGACUGCCCUCUCAUUUGUUGAGAAAAUAUUUUCCCUCAGCCAAACGUAAGCCAAUUUUGGUAUUAUUGAACACAGAUCUAGGGAGCAAGCAGCCACAGUACUUUUUCAACUUAUUCAUCUAAGUGAAUAAGUUAAGAAAAUAAAGCCAGGAAAUUUUCCUCUGUCUAAUCAACAGACAGGCAAGAUAGCCAAAUGGUUUUAAAAAAGAUUAAAUCUAUGCCCAUAUUAAAUAGUUAAUCUCUUUUAAAGCUUUCCCUUUCCUUUCCUCUUCCCUCUUUCCUUUCUCCUUUCCUCUCUAUAUUUUUUUCUGCAUUAAGGAUGCUGUGUUGUCUGCACUUUUUAUAUAAUGAUGACAUGGAAUGAUUAUCCUUAUCUGUAUCACUUAAGAACAAUUCUCCUUUAAUUAAGAAGAUAAGCACUAGUGUUACAUCAUCCAUUCUACGUUAAGUGGAAUCCUGUAAAGUAAUUGUAAGAAGAUAUACUUUUUAACUUUGCUCAAGACAAUGAAAAAAACAAAGACUGGAUGUAGUUCCCUCCCCCAAGUAAUGCUUAGUUUAUACAUGACCAACACUGCCUAAUCCUACAUCCCACAGACUAACAGUUAAAAGACUGAAAAGAUUAAAACCCCCAGCUAUGCAAAGCCAGAAAACUUAGGCAACUAAUGUGUAUUUGGAAGAAAAACUCUGCCUUGGCUUCAAGUAAGGGUGGCGGAAAUAUACCCUGCUUCACCAUCCUGCUCAUUCAGCCUGUGAGAGACAAAGCUGCUUCUGCAGCACAGUGGGGUGGGUUUGAUGUGUUGCAGCAGGCCCAUGCAGCUGGCAGGGUGAGGUGUGUCACUGGGACACGGCCAGCUCAGAGAGCUGUAUGGUCUAAGGCUCCCCAGAUCAGAGCACAGUGAUUUUGUGCACAGUUACCCACACCCUUCUACAGCCAGUGCAAGGGUAGGAGACAGAAUGUAGCAGAAUGAGGGGUUACUGCAGGAGAACAAGCCUAGCUACCACCUUUGGGCCUCAGCUGCUCCCUGUCAGGCAGCUGUGUGUCAGGCCCUUCCUGGCCAACAGUUGUACAGCCUGCAGCCCUUGGUGUGUCAACAUGAAUGGUGGAGAUGUCCCUGGUUAGAUCCCCACAGCAUGAAAAAGCAUGUGAAGCUUUGCAAUUAUCUUUACUUUGCCUUUGUGUUGCUGCAAACAACAAUCGUUGUGGAGAUAAAUGGAUACAAACAAGACUGACAGGAUGUGCCAGUGAGAGGGACAGGCACAAAAUUCCCUACCCAUUGCCUCUUUGCCUGCUGGUCUUCAGAAAUACUUUAAAUUGUAUGUUUCAAAUGGAGCUAAAUACUGACAUUUCAGUAUGACAUUUUGUGAGGAACAGAAGUGGCUUUUUUAAGCAGAUACUGGAUGUGAAAACUGGCAAUCCAGCUAAAACCUCAGAAUCCUAUGCCCUCAUCAGCUAAACAACUAAGUCAGGAUAUCCAGAACUUUCAGAAAAUAAUGUAUUGCCAAAAAAUCCUAAGUACUUCUGCAAUAUUGUUAUCAAUGCUAUGAUGUUAGGUUUGUACAUCAAUAACUAAAGCCACCAUUACAGGUUGUUACUGGGCCGUUGUUAUCAAAGGAAAUAUGAAGACUUGAAAAUUAAUCCCAAAUGAAUGAAUUCUUUUAUUUGAAAACAAAAUCCAAAUCAAACAUCCAAAUGUUUGAGUCCCAAAUGUUUGAGUCCCAGAUAUUUCCUAAGAUACAUUGCCUCCAAGUGUUGGAAGUUUUAAUUAAAACUUGGUUUACAGGAUGAACCCUGAUUCUCAGAACUGCUGGCUAUCACUGAGUGACUGAUAGAGUAAAGAAAGUUUGAGAAAUUACCUGGACACAGAGUUUUUAAUAUUGCUAUGAUGAAAAUGAAUUUGCCAAAUAACCAUAUUUGGGAAUAUUGUUAAAAAUGCCUAAGAAUGUUAACAAAACUAUUGGAAUAUUAGGUCAAAGCUAAAAAAAAUAAAAGAACAUCCACUGGAAUUAGUACAAAGAACCACACCAGGUGACUAACUGAGCACUUCUGUAUCAGUUACAGCCAUGUCACAUUCUUCAAAGUUUUUCUUUAAAAUAUAAGGGCUUAAAACUAGAUGCUUUGGGGGAUGUUUUUUUUUUUUUUUUUCUUUUUCACAGAAGGAAUAAUUUCUAAAAUAUACACCUAAUGUCAGAUAAUGUUAACAUAAGUCACCUAUGAAAAAAUUAUAAACAACCUGACUACAACAACUCAAUAGUAAUUUCUUAAAGCGGCUGGCAGUCUUCACUGAUUCCUUCCAUUCUCUUCCUCACCAGCUCUGCUGUAGGCUGUCUCUGCAAGCACUGCAGGACUCCUUUGAGGACUAUCAAUGUGUUGGGCUUGUUGCAGUCUCAGCAGACUGCUGCCAAAACCCAUACUGCCAUUGGCGUGGCUCCCAAAGGGUUUGCACGCUUCAAAUAAUAAAGAUCUUUACAUGCAGUUUACAUUAGGAGGUAUCUGAGCAUUUGAUUAAAAAUUAAGACAUUCUUGAGUCUCUAAAGUCACUCCUAUUAGCACCAUCAAAUAGUUUCAGCCCUUUGCACUGCUACUGGGAGCUGCUCCUCUAUCUGGACCCCACAGCCUCCAGUCUACCUCUGCUUUGCCCAGUCUUUUCUUGUCAGACAGCUCAACUGGAGGAGUCUGCAUGGCUCUCCUACUUUGGCUACCACCAGAACACAGCACAGGGUUUUUUUUCUUUCCCCUUCAGUUCUGUGGAGGUAGGGAAGUCCUCUGCUUGGUGGGUAUUGAACCAGUAAGACUGAACAGUUAUGCUGCCAGCAUAUAAAAUUAUACUGUAGACUGCAUCAAUUUUGCUCACAUUUGAAAAGACAAAAGUAAAACAUCUGCUUUUACAGGACAAGACAUCAUUUUCGCUUCUUCCCUUCAAAAGAUUACAAAUGUACAAACAAAAAAAAUGGCAAAGUGAAAAAAAAAUCAGAAGAAUUGAAAUCAAAUAUAUUGGAACUAUUUGUUUAACACACACACACAAGAAGCUGAAAUUUGUUCUUCUUUUCUCCUUCUUUGAAAGGCAGCAAAAUAUUAAAAACAGGAUUCCCUACUCUAUUGAAGUUCAGUGUUUCCUACAGACCUAAGAGCUUACAACACCAUGAAGCGAGCAGUCUAUCAGAAGGGCUGUUUGCUCUUUGGUAUGUCACCAUUUGGACAGAGGACAGGAGAUUAGGUGUAACUGUGGCUCGAUCUGCUUUGCUUGCCAAGUAAUUUUAAGUACCAGCAAUAUCAAACCCAUGUAAUGUCUGGUAAGAUACUGAUCUUUCUAUUUUUCCAUCUUCCUCAAAACACCUGUUUUGUGGCUAUGCAUUAUCAAAUACUCUCUAAGCAUCACAGAACAUGGAUGCAAGUAAUCACAAUGGGGAAGAAAAAUGCCAACAAUAUACCAUCCAUUGUGGAAACUGCACGCUCUUCUGGGCCUUUAAGACGAAAAGCUGCAGCUGUCACCCCAGUUGUUGGCCCACUAAUUUCAUACCAAUGCUUGGAAAGUGAGUCACAAUUCACUUCCUCUUGUCCUGAGUGGAGACAUGUUGCUCCCUGCCUACUGACUCUGCACACGUGGAAUUAUACAGAAUUUUCAGCCAAGAAUCCUAAGAUAACACUUGAAAAAUAAUAUGUAUUUCAGCGCCAUGGUUCUCUGGCACAGUGACUGCUUUCUUGUCCUAUACUUGAAGGAAUAGUUAAUCAGGCCACCCUAUCUUACUGGAAAAUUUUCAAUCUUUUCCCUUACCCAAUUCUGUACUUCAGAAGAAAAAGAGAAACCACAUCAAGAGAUUUCAUUUUUCCUUUCAUAAACAAAAUCAGACUGCCAAUAGCUCAGAAGUCUUGAAGAGAGAGGCAUAGUGGCCCAGUGCAGCUUUUUGGUGGAUUUUUUUUUUUUUUUUUUUUUUUUUUGCUGUUGGUUUUUUGUUUUUGUUUUGUUCUGUGAUGCUGAACUCCGAAGUAACACAAUCUGCUUCAAGUUUAUGCAUAAAGACCAGUUUUCUUUCUGACCAAUACUUCAGGGUACCAGGCUCACUGAAAUAAUAUUUAAACAGUUGUCUAAGUCAAAUGCUGAUUUAGUGUUCCAGCUAAGUUUGCCAUUGACCAAGCAGAUAAAUUUAUUCUGGAUAACCACCAGAAAGCACCUAAAUAUGGCCAUUUUGCCCAUACUAGAGAACUUCCCCGUGCUCUUAGGCCGGGACUUGCACUUUGACUGUAUCCCAACCACAUAAAGGAGGAGAUAUCUGUACCUUAGUGCCCAUGAAUGGCACUAAUGGUGCAUGAAUAUGCACCAUGAUACGCUCAUACUGUGAACAAAUUGAGAGACAUUAAAGAUACACACGUACAAAACUGUAGGUAGGCACAAAUGUAUUCCUUUUAUCAGAGCUAUUUCAAGUUAUAACCCCAAAUAAAUUGAUAUCAGAGAUAACUUUAACCAUUAACAUUUUAACAGUAUUCAUACAAAAAUUUUUAAAUGUAAAAUGGAACCUUAAUUCUUUUCUCUACAUGUGGUCUGCAAUUUUUUUUCUGUUCCACAUUAUACAGGCCUGAUUAAAAUCUUUAGUUGAAAAAAAAGUCCUAUAGUAUUUUUUGGUUUGUUACUUGGCUUUCAGAGGGGAAAAAAGAUAAUAUUAACUGUUUUUUUCUUCCUAAAAGAAAUAUAUGUUUUACUUUUAAAGAUGAUAAAAUAGAUUAAGAAGCAAUAUUGUGGAAAGAAUUUUCUAUAAGAUUUUCUUUAUUAACUUAGCAAUUUCAGUAAUUAUUUUUUAGGGAUUUGGGCAACAAAUCAGUAGAGUAGGACAAAAAUAUUAUUUUUAGAGCUCACCUUUGUUACUCCAUGAUUUUGUUUUGAGUUCUUGAAAUUGGAAAAUAUUCCUGUUCUCUUCCUGAGUUUUUAGACCUACUGUAACAUUUCUAAGUAGGUUUGACCUGUUAGAAGACAGCAAAAAAGAAGAGGAAUAGGGUUCCAUUAACUUAGGAAGGUCCCUAUCUGCAAGAUCUUCUGCUAAGCAUCUAAAGAAAGUCAGUAAACAGUAAAUAAAACAGUUCAAGCUGAAAAAAUCUUGGCAGAAAAAAAAAAAAAAAGGAAGAAAGAAAGAAAGAAAAACUCCAAAAAGUGAUAUGAAAAAAAAUCAGCAAGGUUAAAAAAAAUAGUAGAUUUCUUUCUGAAAAAGUUCUGCAAUGGUCAGUCUGAAAUGUUUUUGUAUUCAACUAAAGGAAAGUCAAACUCUUUAUGUUAAGUUUGAACUGUUUUAUAUGGCAUGAGAAAGUUCCCAAGCCAGCGCCAGAUUUCGGUGUUUCCAUUUUUCAAAUUCAAUCAUUUGUGGAAAAAGGAAGAGUGAAAAAGACAUAAUUCUCCAGUUGUUUAUAUGGAAAUGGUGAGCUCUGUUCUUAGUAACAUAAAUUGAUUAAUCAGUGUUCAGUGGCUGUGUAAAAUUACAAUUUUUUUUUGUCUGAGCCUCUUGUUAGAUAUAGGCACUGAGGAAAGCUGGGUAAUAGAUCAAUUAGUGUUUACAAAACACUUCAGUAAUGCAAAAUCAUUGAAGUGCACUGUUUGAAUACGAUGACUGAAAUUUCAAUAAAGAACCCUGAUAUUUGAAACAUUCUAGUGUGUGAGAAAUAGGAUGGGUAUACAGCAGACCCAGGUACUAGAAUGUGUGGCUGUUAAAGAUCAUUUUAUUGACAUAAUCUGCAGAAAACCUCCAGCUCUAAGGUAAACAUAUUCUGUAUUCGUAGCCAGCAUUCCUGAAAUACAUCACAGUUCAGAAGUGAGAACCUCUCUCAUAUCUUCUGUGUCUGCAGAAGUGGCAAAUAUUGCACACCAACAGAACAUACUUUUUUAACUAAGGAACAAAUAUCUCCAGAAAACAGAAAAGGCAAUGUUAUCAACCUGUUGAGCAAUGCUAAGCAAUACAUUUUGAGCAAAAUCACAACACAGACUUGGAAGAUAAUUCUGCAAAACCUUUAGGCUCUUCUUUUCAUAAUUAAGUAGUGGUUUGAAGAAAAUUUGCUGCUAUCUUCCACUAAGCUGUCAAACUGGAAGAAGUUAAGUACCAGUAGGGUUUCUCAUUUUAGUUGCUACCAUAAGCCAGAUAAUAUAUCUCCUCAAAAUGAAAAUAAAUAAUGAAAUAAUGAAAUAAUGAAAUAAAAAAGAGGGAAGGGAGAAUAGAAAGCUUUGCUUUUGUUACGACACAGCAAGAACCUAACUGAUAUCCAGGGAGAGCUGUGGUCACAGUGCUCUAAGAUGGCAAUGCCAUAUUCUACACAAUACACAGCUUUUGAGACGACUCUUAAAGAGUUGAAAUCAGCUCUGAUCAUAUUUAGAAAGCAGUUAAUAACAUGUACUUUAGAUAGCCAGCCAAUGAUGAAUCUAGGCAUAAAGGCAUUUUUGGAGCUCAGACAUCCUGUCAGUUUGAAAAUGUUCCAUUCCAUUCUAGAAAAAGGUUUACAUAUGUAGUAUUUAGUGUUCGUAAUUAUGAUGUCUAAAUUUAUGGUAUUAUUAUAAACCACAUUUAGAAUGUAUUCUUUCACAUGCACUACUGAGAUUAGGUUGAACAAUUAUGGUAUUCACAGAAUUGUGGUUUUGCCCGUGUUUAUCGGCUUAAAUUCAACACCACAAACAUUUACUUCUUCAGAUGAAGUGCUCAUCUGUAAGAAAGGCUGAGCUUUUCUCUCUUUGAAGUUUCAGUGGCAUUAUUCCUUUCACACAAUGUAACUUAUUUCUAAUCUCUACUGGUGCAAGUGAAAGAAAACUCAAACCUUCUGUUUCAGACCAGACAUUUAACAAAAUAUCCUACUGCUGCCUCAAAUCUCUAUCUAUCUGGAAAUUAAUGAUCUCAUUGCAAUUUGUACAGGAAUGCUAGAGUAACCCUGAUGUUCUGAUCUGGUUUUAAUUACUUUUUUUCCAAACAUCAUUGAAAUGAAUAUAUCACAGGCAGUUUUGCUUAAUUGAGGUUGAAGAUGGUUUUCAUUUCUUACAAUCAGAACUGUAUCAAAAAUCAGAUUCCUGUUGCUGUUGUUUGCAUUCCUCUAAAAAUUACAUUCAAAUUAAACACAUGUUCUGAAAAGCCUAAUAGGUUUCUCUUUCACACAGCACCUUCAUAGAAAGUCAUGUACGGGAAGCACUGAUUUUCAGAAACACUUUGUAAAUGCUGGCAGUCAGCAUGUGUGCCAUCCAAUAUGCUUCAUUUUACAAGUAUAAAGCAAACUCCAAAGUCUCAUCUCGCCAACAAAGAACAAAGUGUUAGUUUGAUAGUGAGCUCCUAACAUAUGUAUCCAAACUAUAAAGGCCCAACUGAAUAUCUGUAUUGGUGGGUGCAUAAUUUUCAUAAGGUCCUUCUGGGCUUACACUGUGACCACAGUGAAAAUAAGCUUCUGGAAUAAAAUGGUUCAUCCUUUCAAAAUACUUUUUGAAAAGCAAAAUCACGAUGUAAUUUUAUUUUUAGGGACCCCCCUGCAUAAGAAUUAAGGGUAGACCAGAAAUAAGAAAACAAUGAAUGUAAAACAAACAAACAAACAACACUUUCACAGCUCUUAGAGCUCUUCUGUGGUAUUUGCUCAGCUUUUCAGGAAUUCGUUUAUACACACCUGCAGCAAUACAAGCUUACACAGAGCACAAUUACUUGGACAGAUAAUUUGUGAGCAAAGAUUACUGUUUAUUGACCCCAUAACCACAUGUAAUCAUUUCGUUCUAUUGUCCACCUAAAAUGAAUUCCUUCCUGCUCAAACUGUGAGCUGCAGACUUGGAAGUUCUCCAAACAAAAAUUUCUGAGAGCUGGGAUGUAGAAGGAAAGCAAUUUUAAUGAGAUAAUUUUCUCUUUCAAGUUAAGUAAAAGAAAGCCCAAAUUCAAGUCACUGUCAGCAGCAGCUUAGAGGUAUAUACAGAGAUAUACUAACACUGAAAAUAGAAAGACAUUCUUCACAACUAAAUACUAUUUUCCUUUUAUGCACAUAUUUUCACAGACUUAUCUUUUAUUUACCCAACUUUUCCUAGAAGGAUUCCAGUACAAUCUAGAAAACAUUCUCCCCACUUAUACUACCAUGACAGGCCUUCUACAGAUGAGCCAAAUGAGAGAUGAUAUCUCUGAAGGCACAUGAGCAGCUCAUUGCUAUGGAAUGGAAUGGAAGCCAACUAAUGUGACACCUCACCUCUAACAUAACAUCAAGAAGUUGAAGAGCAGCCAAUGAGCAGGCACAUUCAUCUACAUGAAUAUAUUUUCAUAAAUUUGUUCUUCCUUGUUUUGACAAGAUUUUAAAAAUAUAUGCAUUAAAAAUAAUCACAAAAAUUAUGUCAGAAUUUCUGUACUCUACUUUCAAUAUAGUGUCAUUCACGGGUAUUAUACAGCAAAUUUCAUAAUGACUAGGAAUAUUUACUCCUAGGAAUGCCUGAGCAUAGUUGUAUAGCAAUAAGUGUCUGAGAAGAAUUGUAUAAAACGUUUGCAAGGAUAUGAAUUCUGAAAAGCUCUAUAAAUACAUUCAUUUGCUCUACUUUUCAAAUAAAAUACUUUUCUCUCCUUCCUACUCUCAUGUAUAGCAGUAUAAAAAAUUUCCCACUUCCAUGAGAAAAAUUUUUCUUGUAGUUUCCUCUGUUCUCAUCAAAAAGCCUAGCAAAAGUAUAAAAAAAUUAAUAAAAGGAAAGAAAGAGUACCUCAGUUAUCCCAAAAGCAAGUCUGAAACUCCUACUCCGAGUUUUUGUGCUGUCAAAUUACAGCACUAAAUGCUGCCAUGUUGGGAAUCUUUAAAAGCAAAAGGCUGAAGUUUUAGUUUGUGAGAAGAAGACAGGGAGGGAAAAGACAGGGAGAACAAAGAGAGGAAAGAAUUCUAGUGUACAGUAAUCCAGAAAAACAAUUGAAUUUGCUGCAGAAUGUGCAUGAAUCAGAUUAAGGUAUUCUUGUUCUAUAGCUCCCUUUUCUAUGGUCUGAUUUAAUACUUUCUUUAAAAAUCAACCUUAAUUAAAAACUCCGACCAGAAUAAAAAAGAAUUCUAACUGAGAUUCAGUGUUUCAGAACUGUCUGUGGUUUGUUGGUCUCCCAUAUAUGAAAAAAAUAACCAGGAAAUAAUGAGAACGUGUGUAUUUUAUAUCGUAACAGGAAAAAAAAAUAGUGAAUGUCUACAGACAUCAUUAAC
ensembl:lncRNA